GUCUGACUGGCUCAGUUGGUAGAGCAUGCAACUCUUAAUCUCAGGGUUCUGAGUUCAAGCCCCAAGUUGGGCA
rnacentral:tRNA from 1 species